AUUGAACGCUGGCGGCAUGCUUUACACAUGCAAGUCGAACGGCAGCGGGGAGGAGCUUGCUUCUCUGCCGGCGAGUGGCGAACGGGUGAGUAAUACAUCGGAACGUGUCGAGAAGAGGGGGAUAACCACCCGAAAGGGUGGCUAAUACCGCAUAAAUUCUGAGGAAGAAAGCUGGGGACCUAGGAAUAGGCCUAGCGCUUUUUGAGCGGCCGAUGUCGGAUUAGCUAGUUGGUGAGGUAAAGGCUCACCAAGGCGAAGAUCUGUAGCGGGUCUGAGAGGAUGAUCCGCCACACUGGAACUGAGACACGGCCCAGACUCCUACGGGAGGCAGCAGUGGGGAAUUUUGGACAAUGGGGGCAAUCCUGAUCCAGCAAUGCCGCGUGUAUGAAGAAGGCCUUAGGGUUGUAAAGUACUUUUGUUAGGGAAGAAAAGUCAGCUGUGAAUAAUGGCUGAUACUGACGGUACCUAAAGAAUAAGCACCGGCUAACUACGUG
rnacentral:rRNA from 1 species